UACGUAGGAUGCAAGCGUUGUCCGAAUUUAUUGGGUUUAAAGGGUGCGUAGGCGGCCUAUUAAGUUAGAGGUGAAAACGUUGGACUUAACCGGAUACCCGCCAUUGAUACUGAUAGACUUGAGUGCGACAGAGGGUGUUGGAAUGUGUGGUGUAGCGGUGAAAUGCUUAGAUAUCACGCAGAACACCAAUUGCGAAGGCAGAUGCCUAUGUCGUAACUGACGCCGAGGCACGAAAGCGUGGGGAGCAAACAGG
rnacentral:rRNA from 1 species